rnacentral:rRNA from 1 species
AACGCUGGCGGAAUGCUUUACACAUGCAAGUCGAACGGCAGCAUGGAGGAGCUUGCUCCUCUGAUGGCGAGUGGCGAACGGGUGAGUAAAGCAUCGGAACGUACCGUGUAGUGGGGGAUAACGUAGCGAAAGUUACGCUAAUACCGCAUACGCACUGAGGUGGAAAGCAGGGGAUCGCAAGACCUUGCGCUAUACGAGCGGCCGAUGUCAGAUUAGCUAGUUGGUAGGGUAAAGGCCUACCAAGGCGACGAUCUGUAGCGGGUCUGAGAGGAUGAUCCGCCACACUGGGACUGAGACACGGCCCAGACUCCUACGGGAGGCAGCAGUGGGGAAUUUUGGACAAUGGGGGAAACCCUGAUCCAGCCAUGCCGCGUGAGUGAAGAAGGCCUUCGGGUUGUAAAGCUCUUUCGGCUGGGAAGAAAUCGCACAGGCUAAUACUCUGUGUGGAUGACGGUACCAGCAUAAGAAGCACCGGCUAACUACGUG